rnacentral:rRNA from 2 species
CUUUGGUUCGGAACAACUCAGGGAAACUUGAGCUAAUACCGGAUGUGCCCUUCGGGGGAAAGAUUUAUCGCCAUUGGAGCGGCCCGCGUCUGAUUAGCUAGUUGGUGGGGUAAAGGCCCACCAAGGCGACGAUCAGUAGCUGGUCUGAGAGGAUGAUCAGCCACAUUGGGACUGAGACACGGCCCAAACUCCUACGGGAGGCAGCAGUGGGGAAUCUUGCGCAAUGGGCGAAAGCCUGACGCAGCCAUGCCGCGUGAAUGAUGAAGGUCUUAGGAUUGUAAAAUUCUUUCACCGGGGACGAUAAUGACGGUACCCGGAGAAGAAGCCCCGGCUAACUUCGUGCCAGCAGCCGCGGUAAUACGAAGGGGGCUAGCGUUGCUCGGAAUUACUGGGCGUAAAGGGAGCGUAGGCGGACUGUUAAGUUAGAGGUGAAAGCCCAGGGCUCAACCUUGGAAUUGCCUUUGAUACUGGCAGUCUUGAGUACGGAAGAGGUAUGUGGAACUCCGAGUGUAGAGGUGAAAUUCGUAGAUAUUCGGAAGAACACCAGUGGCGAAGGCGACAUACUGGUCCGUUACUGACGCUGAGGCUCGAAAGCGUGGGG